AUAUAUAUAUAUAUAUAUUUGACCAGGUGGAUGUAAUGAAGUCAUCAACCAGGAUAGUGACAGUGACAAUGAAGAGGAGUGGAUGGAGUGUGGAUUUUGAAGGUAGAUCAGCAGGUCCCGUGGAGGUCUUGGGAGAGUAGCCGUUCACUCCUGAGGUUCAGAACUUCCCCAAAGCCCUGUUUGCAUAAAGAUGAGCAUAAUCCCCGUGAGGCAGAGGGUGGAGCAGCAGAUGUGAAGGGCCUCUGCAGCUGUGCCUUACAUCUGUUGGUUGGUCUGUAAAUGUUCUACUUGGCAAAGCCUUUCAAUGCCUGAAAUAGUUGGCCAGUUAUGCCCAGAAUUUGGCCUUACAAAUCUGUAUUAGAAAACUCUGUGCAAACCACCUCACAAGGCUCAAAAUCAGGACCUGAGCUGGAAGAUUUCUAAGUAGAGUCUAUUACUUCUGCACCUGGUAUUCUUCAUACCAUCAAAACUGCAUCACAGUUUCCAUUAUGCACAUGGUUUCUCAUUCCACCCACCCUCUUCCCCCCUAGAGGUUUGUAAAACUUAGCAAUGAAAAUUUGCUCCCACUGGGAACUUGGCAGGAAGAGUAUGUUCUUAGCCCAGCAGCAGUUCUAGUUCAAAAUUUUUUUGACAAAAUUGGUUUAGUGCAUUUUAUAAAAUGCAUAUAUUAAUCUAAUUCACUUCAAGUUUUUCAAUAAUCUUUUUUAUUCCAUUUCGCCUUUUAGGCAGCUCACAGAGAACAAGUAGGGAAUAUAUCUCAUGAGAAAUCUACUCUGAAUAUGUUCUGAGCCACUUGUACAUUUUUUUCCCAGAAUUAUAAAGCUUUGCCUUAAAUUUUUAACUUGCCCCAAAUGGCAACUACAUCAUUGCUUUUUCCAUGGAUUUUUAGCAUGUUGAUAUUAGUCUUGAGAAAUGUCAUCUGGAUCCUUCUUUCAGAUAAAUUCAUGAUGAAAUUAUUUGUCUUGCUUUUAAAGGUGUCAAAUAGUGGCUUAUGACUAUAAUCCCAGCACUUUGUGGGGCUGAGGCUGGAAGAUUGCUUGAGCCCAGGAGUUCAAG